CAUAAGGGAAUAUACACUAUGCAAAAGCUGGACAUGAGCAAGAAAAAGAAAGAGUUGGGAGUGUGUGUUUGCGUUAAUCUGCUCAGACUACCACCACAACAGCUAUCACCACUAGGGCGUGUUUAGGACUCAAGAAUGCCAAGAUCAGGGUGUUGGCAAGGCUGUUUUUUCCUGAGGCCUCUCCUUGACUUGUAGAUGGUUAUCUUCUUUCUGUGUCUGUUGUGUCUAUCUUUGUCCUAAUAUUCUCUUACCAGUCAAAUUGAAUUAGGGCUCACCAUAAUCGUUUCAUUUUAGUGAGUUGUGUUUUUAAACCUGUAUUCAAAGUAG